GACAGAGGUGCCAAGCGUUAGGCGGAAUCACUGGGCUUAAAGCGUGUGUAGGCGGGUGCCUAGGUACCUUGUGAAAUCCCACGGCUCAACCGUGGAACUGCUGGGUAUACUGGGUGCCUUGGGUCAUCUAGGGGCUGCCGGAACAAAUGGUGGAGCGGUGAAAUGCGUAGAUAUCAUUUGGAACGCCAACGGCGAAAGCAGGCAGCUGGGGAUGCACCGACGCUGAGACACGAAAGCCAGGGGAGCGAACGGG
rnacentral:rRNA from 1 species